rnacentral:rRNA from 1 species
GGCUCAGAUUGAACGCUGGCGGCAUGCCUUACACAUGCAAGUCGAACGGCAGCACGGGAGCAAUCCUGGUGGCGAGUGGCGAACGGGUGAGUAAUAUAUCGGAACGUGCCCAGUAGUGGGGGAUAGCCCGGCGAAAGCCGGAUUAAUACCGCAUACGACCUGAGGGUGAAAGCGGGGGAUCGCAAGACCUCGCGCUAUUGGAGCGGCCGAUAUCAGAUUAGCUAGUUGGUGGGGUAAAGGCCUACCAAGGCUACGAUCUGUAGUUGGUCUGAGAGGACGACCAGCCACACUGGGACUGAGACACGGCCCAGACUCCUACGGGAGGCAGCAGUGGGGAAUUUUGGACAAUGGGCGCAAGCCUGAUCCAGCAAUGCCGCGUGCAGGAAGAAGGCCUUCGGGUUGUAAACUGCUUUUGUCAGGGAAGAAAUCUUCUGGGCUAAUACCCCGGGAGGAUGACGGUACCUGAAGAAUAAGCACCGGCUAACUACGUG